rnacentral:rRNA from 1 species
GAUGAACGCUGGCGGCGUGCCUAAUACAUGCAAGUCGAGCGAACGGACGAGAAGCUUGCUUCUCUGAUGUUAGCGGCGGACGGGUGAGUAACACGUGGAUAACCUACCUAUAAGACUGGGAUAACUUCGGGAAACCGGAGCUAAUACCGGAUAAUAUUUUGAACCGCAUGGUUCAAAAGUGAAAGACGGUCUUGCUGUCACUUAUAGAUGGAUCCGCGCUGCAUUAGCUAGUUGGUAAGGUAACGGCUUACCAAGGCAACGAUGCAUAGCCGACCUGAGAGGGUGAUCGCCCACACGGGAACUGAGACACGGUCCAGACUCCUACGGGAGGCAGCAGUAGGGAAUCUUCCGCAAUGGGCGAAAGCCUGACGGAGCAACGCCGCGUGAGUGAUGAAGGUCUUCGGAUCGUAAAACUCUGUUAUUAGGGAAGAACAUAUGUGUAAGUAACUGUGCACAUCUUGACGGUACCUAAUCAGAAAGCCACGGCUAACUACGUG